UUCAUAUGCAGCACCUCUGGGUCUCAAGUGUUUGUGUGUGUGUGUGCAUGGGAGUGCUUGCUUAGAUCACACUGAUCAACCAGACAAAGUUUGCCAUCAUUACCACAAUUACCACAGUCAUCUCAUCUUCAUCUUCACCAUCCUCAUCAUCACAAUCCUCCUCAUAGCCAUCACCAUCCUCAUCAUCACAAUCAGCCUUAUACCAUCUCCUCCACCCUCCUCUUUAUCACCAUUAUCCUCAUCACCACCAUCCUCUUCAGCAUCAGCAUUCCCACCACCAUCCUCUAUAUCAGUACCAUCAUCACUACUAAACUGUUAAACACAACCACUUUCAUUAUCCCCAUCACUACCGCCAUAUACUUCUUCAUCACCAUCAUCCUCAUCACUACCAUCCACUUUAGCAUCACCACCACCAUACCAUUCAUCAUCCCAUUCAUCACCACCACCCAUUUCAUCAUCACUUUCACCACACCACCCUGUUCAUCACCACAACCAUUUUCGUCACCAUCAUUACCAAUAAUAUCCUUUACCACAUCAUCAUUAACAAUAUCAUCUCCAUUAUUAUUACCACAGACUUCAUCAUUAACCUCUUUAUUUUCACCAUCCUCUUCAUCAUUAUCAAUACCAUUAUAUUUUCUUCAUUACAAUCAUCACCACCACCACUACUAUUAUUUUCAUCACCAUAAUUUCCAUCACCAUCAAUACCAACCUCUUAAUCACCAACACCAUCUUCUUUAUCAUCACCAUCAUCCUCUUUACAGCAACACCAUUAUUCAUUUUAUCAUCACCACAAUCUUAUUCAUUAUCACCACCACCACCCUCUUCAUCACCAUCCUCUUCUUCUUCACCACAACCAUUUUCUUUGUCAUGACCAUUAUCUUUAUCACCAUCACCACCAUACUCUUCUUCAUUACCACCACCCUCUUCAUCAUCAGGCCCUUCAUCACCACCACCCUCUUCAUCAUUAGGCCUUUCAUCACCAUUAUCCUCAUUAUUACAUUACUACCAUACUCUUCAUCACCAUAACUACGCUCAUUACCAGCAUCAACAUUGCAAUGCAUAAACAUCCUCAUCACCAACAUCCAUAGCCUCCCCAUCACCACCACUGUUCUCAUCACCACCAUCCUCUUCUUCAACAGGCCCUUCAUCACUAACAUCCUCUUAAUCACCAUAAUAAUUUUUAUCACCAUCAUCCACUUCAACAUUAUCACCUUCAUCAACACCACCCCCCUCCCCAUCGCCACCACAGUUCCC
rnacentral:lncRNA from 1 species